rnacentral:rRNA from 1 species
GACCUAACAUGCUUAGCCCGACAAGGUUACUUGUUGAGUGCUGAGUCGUGUUUGUCAUCCUUCUGGAAAAUGUUGUUGCGCUUUACUGCGUUGACAACACUAUCCAGAUCUUUUACUUUGAAAAAAUUAGAGUGUUUAAAGCAGGCGUACGCUUGAAUACAUUAGCAUGGAAUAAUGGAAUAGGGCUGCUGCCCCAUUUUGUUGGUUUCUGGGACCGUAGCA